GAUGAAGAACGUAGCGAAAUGCGAUAAGUAAUGUGAAUUGCAGAAUUCAGUGAAUCAUCGAAUCUUUGAACGCACAUUGCGCCCCUUGGUAUUCCGAGGGGCAUGCCUGUUCGAGCGUCAUUAUAACCCCUCAAGCUCAGCUUGGGGUUGGGGCCUGCUGCACUGGCAGCCCUUAAAAUCAGUGGCGGCGCCAUCUGGCUCUAAGCGUAGUAAUUCUUCUCGCUAUGGAGUCCUGGUGGAUGCUUGCCAUCAACCCCCAAUUUUUCUAUGGUUGACCUCGGAUCAGGUAGGGAUACCCGCUGAACUUAAGCAUAUCAAUAAGCGGAGGA
rnacentral:misc_RNA from 1 species